CCUACGGGUGGCAGCAGUGAGGAAUAUUGGUCAAUGGCCGGAAGGCUGAACCAGCCAUGCCGCGUGAAGGUCAGUGCCCUAUGGGCGUUAAACUUCUUUUGUGCGGGAGCAAUAAUGGUCACGUGUGGCCAGACGAGAGUACCGUACGAAUAAGCAUCGGCUAACUCCGUGCCAGCAGCCGCGGUAAUACGGGGGAUGCAAGCGUUAUCCGGAUUUAUUGGGUUUAAAGGGUGCGUAGGCUGUGAGGUAAGUCAGCGGUGAAAUGCCCCCGCUCAACGGGGUGAAGUGCCAUUGAUACUGCAUUGCUGGAAUGCGGAUGCCGUGGGAGGAAUGUGUGGUGUAGCGGUGGAAUGCAUAGAUAUCACACAGAACACCGAUUGCGAAGGCAUCUCACGAAUCCGCGAUUGACGCUGAUGCACGAAAGCGUGGGUAUCAAACAGGAUUAGAUACCCUAGUAGUC
rnacentral:rRNA from 1 species